GAGAAAUUGCAUUGAAUUAUUACUUCCGGAAACUCCUGUGGGCGGGACUGUGAUGCUCCAUAGCCUCUACACAAAGGACCAGAUGGCUGUGUGACAUGUUUUCAGUUCUGUGCAAGGAACCACCAUCACACCAUGGGAUACACAAAGGCUAGGGUUAAGUGAUGCUUUUGUAUCAAAAAAGGGAUGACACCUUAGACUUAUUUUAUGUGGCAUUUUCAAAAUGUGUUGGCUAUGCAGGUCAUGUGACGCCUCUUCCACGUUGUUGCUCGAGGCUUUGGAUUAUCGGACUCUAUAACCUUGAUCGCCAAACUUUUCUGUCAAACGUUAACGUUAAACGUUAAGCCAGUAUCAAGGGCUGCAAA